GAUGAACGCUGGCGGCGUGCUUAACACAUGCAAGUCGAACGGAAAGGCUCCUGCUUGCAGGGGUACUCGAGUGGCGAACGGGUGAGUGACACGUGGGUGAUCUGCCCUGCACUUCGGGAUAAGCCUGGGAAACUGGGUCUAAUACCGGAUAGGACGAUGGUUUGGAUGCCAUUGUGGAAAGUUUUUUCGGUGUGGGAUGAGCUCGCGGCCUAUCAGCUUGUUGGUGGGGUAAUGGCCUACCAAGGCGUCGACGGGUAGCCGGCCUGAGAGGGUGUACGGCCACAUUGGGACUGAGAUACGGCCCAGACUCCUACGGGAGGCAGCAGUGGGGAAUAUUGCACAAUGGGCGCAAGCCUGAUGCAGCGACGCCGCGUGGGGGAGGACGGCCUUCGGGUUGUAAACUCCUUUCGCUAGGGACGAAGCGCAAGUGACGGUACCUGGAGAAGAAGCACCGGCUAACUACGGGC
rnacentral:rRNA from 1 species